rnacentral:rRNA from 1 species
AGCGAACGCUGGCGGCAGGCCUAACACAUGCAAGUCCAACGAACCUUUCGGGGUUAGUGGCGGACGGGUGAGUAACACGUGGGAACGUGCCUUUAGGUUCGGAAUAACUCAGGGAAACUUGUGCUAAUACCGAAUGUGCCCUUCGGGGGAAAGAUUAAUCGCCUUUAGAGCGGCCCGCGUCUGAUUAGCUAGUUGGUUGAGGUAAUGGCUCACCAAGGCGACGAUCAGUAGCUGGUCUGAGAGGAUGAUCAGCCACAUUGGGACUGAGACACGGCCCAAACUCCUACGGGAGGCAGCAGUGGGGAAUCUUGCGCAAUGGGCGAAAGCCUGACGCAGCCAUGCCGCGUGAAUGAUGAAGGUCUUAGGAUUGUAAAAUUCUUUCACCGGGGACGAUAAUGACGGUACCCGGAGAAGAAGCCCCGGCUAACUUCGUG